GACGAACGCUGGCGGCGUGCUUAACACAUGCAAGUCGAACGGAAAGGCCCUGCUUUUGUGGGGUGCUCGAGUGGCGAACGGGUGAGUAACACGUGAGUAACCUGCCCUUGACUUUGGGAUAACUUCAGGAAACUGGGGCUAAUACCGGAUAGGAGCUCCUGCUGCAGGGUGGGGGUUGGAAAGUUUCGGCGGUUGGGGAUGGACUAGCGGCUUAUCAGCUUGUUGGUGGGGUAGUGGCUUAGCAAGGCUUGGACGGGUAGCAGGCCUGAGAGGGUGACCGGCCCCGUUGGGACUGAGCUACGACCCAGCCUCGUACGGUAGGCAGCAGUGGGGAAUAUUGCACUAUGGGCUGAACCCUGAUGCGGCCACGCCGCGUGCGGGAUGACGGCCUUCGGGUUGUAAACCGCUUUCGCCUGUGACGAAGCGUGAGUGACGGUAAUGGGUAAAGAAGCACCGGCUAACUACGUG
rnacentral:rRNA from 1 species